rnacentral:rRNA from 1 species
CCUACGGGAGGCAGCAGUAGGGAAUAUUGCGCAAUGGGCGAAAGCCUGACGCAGCCAUGCCGCGCGAGUGACGAAGGCCUUCGGGUCGUAAAGCUCUUUUCUGAGGGAAGAACAUCCAGUGGAGGAAAUGCCACUGGCCUGACGGUACCUCAGGAAUAAGGAACGGCUAACUCCGUGCCAGCAGCCGCGGUAAUACGGAGGUUCCAAGCGUUGUUCGGAAUUACUGGGCGUAAAGGGAGCGCAGGCGGUCUGAUCAGUCCAAAGUGGAAGCCCGGGGCUCAACCUCGGAAAGCCUUUGGAUACUGUCAGACUUGAGUACGUGGGAGGAAGGCGGAAUUCAAGGUGUGGCGGUGAAAUGCUUAGAUAUCUUGAGGAACACCAAUGGCGAAAGCAGCCUUCUGGCACGACACUGACGCUGAGGCUCGAAAGCGUGGGGAGCAAACAGGAUUAGAUACCCUGGUAGUCCACGCCGUAAACGUUGUGCACUAGGUGUAGGAGGUAUCGACCCCUUCUGUGCCGCAGCUAACGCAUUAAGUGCACCGCCUGGGGAGUACGCGCGCAAGCGUGAAACUCAAAGGAAUAGACGG